rnacentral:rRNA from 1 species
GGCGAACGGGUGCGUAACACGUGAGCGACCUACCGCGGUGCGGGGGAUAGCCGGCCCAACGGCCGGGUAAUACCGCAUACGUUCCUUUGGGGGCAUCCCUGGGGGAGGAAACCUGUGGUGCAAGCCAUGGGGCAGCGCGAGGGGCUCGCGGCUAUCAGCUAGUUGGCGGGGUAACGGCCCACCAAGGCGAUGACGGGUAGCUGGUCUGAGAGGAUGGCCAGCCACAUUGGGACUGAGAGACGGCCCAGACUCCAUACGGGAGGCAGCAGUGGGGAAUCUUGCGCAAUGGGCGAAAGCCUGACGCAGCGACGCCGUGUGAGGGAAGAAGGCCUUCAGGUUGUAAACCUCUUUCAGGAGGGACGAAGCCACUCGGGUUAAUAGCCCAGAGGGUGACGGUACCUCCGGAAGAAGCCCCGGCUAACUACGUGCCAGCAGCCGCGG